CCGAGUUUACAACUCCCAAACCCCUGUGAACAUACCUAUACGUUGCCUCGGCGGAUCAGCCCGCGCCCCGUAAAAAGGGACGGCCCGCCCGAGGACCCCUAAACUCUGUUUUUAGUGGAACUUCUGGGUAAAACAAACAAAUAAAUCA
rnacentral:misc_RNA from 1 species